GAUGAACGCUGGCGGCGUGCCUAAUACAUGCAAGUCGAGCGAACGGACGAGAAGCUUGCUUCUCUGAUGUUAGCGGCGGACGGGUGAGUAACACGUGGAUAACCUACCUAUAAGACUGGGAUAACUUCGGGAAACCGGAGCUAAUACCGGAUAAUAUUUUGAACCGCAUGGUUCAAAAGUGAAAGACGGUCUUGCUGUCACUUAUAGAUGGAUCCGCGCUGCAUUAGCUAGUUGGUAAGGUAACGGCUUACCAAGGCAACGAUGCAUAGCCGACCUGAGAGGGUGAUCGGCCACACUGGAACUGAGACACGGUCCAGACUCCUACGGGAGGCAGCAGUGGGGAAUCUUCCGCAAUGGGCGAAAGCCUGACGGAGCAACGCCGCGUGAGUGAUGAAGGUCUUCGGAUCGUAAAACUCUGUUAUUAGGGAAGAACAUAUGUGUAAGUAGCUGUGCACAUCUUGACGGUACCUAAUCAGAAAGCCACGGCUAACUACGUG
rnacentral:rRNA from 1 species